UUGCAACAAGGGGGAUCGACUGAAGAUACUAAUCAUAACAUUGUUGACGACAUGUAUGAACCAGAUUUGACUUCUAUAGCAGGUUCUAACAACAUGCAUUGGUGACCACUGGUGGCGGGCCUCUUGAGGAGGAUCA